UGGUAUCUUCAGGGCAGGGUGAGAUUCCCGAUUGGCGGUAUAGUCCGCGAGCGUGAAAACGCAGGACUUGGCAGGCGUCCAAGUCAGGAUUUGGUGAGAUUCCAAAACCAACAGUAUAGUCUGGAUAGAAGAAGAUAAGG
rnacentral:ncRNA from 2 species